rnacentral:lncRNA from 1 species
UAUCAAUCCUUGGACAGGGAACAGUUUCCAAACCUUUUUGCUAAUGCACAGAAGUGGAUCUCCAUGUUUGGAAGCACUUACAUUUGUGAACAGAUGUUUUCCUUGAUGAAGCUGAAUAAAUCUCCCCUGCGGACUAGACUAACUGAUGAGAACCUACAGGCAGUGCUCAGACUUGCAACCACCUCACUGGAGCCUGACAUUAAUCAGGUUGUGUCAGAACGGCGCUGCAAUAUCUCCCAUUGACCAAGAUAUUUCUUGUAAGUAGCUGAUAUUAUGCAAUAGUAGCAUAGUGAAACAAUGUAUUCCAAAUUUGUGUGGAGACACCUGUAAAAAUGUGUGGCCCUCUGGUCUAGGUGUUAAUGUGAAAUUGGCCCUUGGUUAAAAGAAGUUGUGCACCCCUGCUGUAAGGUGAUGAUAUUGUUAAUAGGUCAUCCCAGAGAGGACUGUGAUUAACUAGUUAGGGUUACAAAGAUAUUUUUAUGUACACUGCUACACGGUGAUCUCUUCUAACUCUUAGGGGCUGUGGUCUGUUUUCUCAGACUGUUGGAAACCCACUUCCUCCAUCUGCACUUCCUAGUGUACUCAGAAGAAGAUCUUACACAAGGCUACAACUGUAAAAUACCCUUUUUAAUUUGAUUUAAUCACUCUGGGAACAGUGUUGAUAUGGCGGUUCUUCAGGCUGGGAUUCUGCAUCUGGCUCCUUGUAUCCUGAUGAUUCUCCUGACCUGUGGAGAUUUUACCAAGGCAAAUAUUUUUAAACCAUUUCCCUGGAUCAACAAAACUGCUGAUCAGGGUGAAACUGUUGUUUUACACUGUAAGGGAAGUUAUGAUAGUGGAGAAGAUUUUGUUUGGCGUAAGGAUGGGAAUCUUCUUUUCGUCUACAGCCCCUUAAUUAACCAAACUGUAACAAACUACACAUCAAGCAGGAUGAGUGUAGAUCCCAGUGAUCCACGGAAACUACAGAUAUCUAACGUUCAGCCUUCAGAUGCAGGAACCUAUUCCUGCUUCCCAUCAAGAAUUCUAUGGAUUCUGACCAUAAAAGGAAUAUCUGUGCCUGCGUCACACAAAAGCACUAUUUUUAUCAUUGUCCGCUCAGUUGGAGGAGCUGUUGCAGUGGGCCUGUUGAUCUUCUGUGCUGUUUGGAUUCCUAGGAAAUGUAAGAAGUGUGGGGGCUCUGCUCAGGGUGGAACAGGGUAUGUGAGUUCUUUAUCUGCAACUGAUACACUUAUAAUUAUAUUAAUACAGAAUAGCAUCUGAAAUCAAACUCUAGUAAUACAUAAAAUACCCUGAGGGAACAAUAGUGAUGUGAAAGAUGUUUUAUGUAUUUAUUAAGAAACACAACCAAACCUGCACAAUAUUUUUACAACAUUAGUGAUUUAGGUUAUUUUUAUAGACCAUUUCUUAUUAACUUUUUACAGCAGGGGUCAGCAAUAGACGAGCAUGAAACAUUACACAUAAUGGCUUGGAAAAUAUCUGGCCCACGGCCAAACUUCAUUCCCGACCCCUGUUUUACAGGUUCCUAAUAUUCAAAAUUAUUAUGAGAAUUCUAUUGUUUUUAUGUUUUAUUUUAUUAUCUUUAAUUCAUUAUUUACAUAAGGUCAAACAAUGCUGCAUAACAUCACAAUGAACAGAAGGAUAUUGUUCAAAAACUGUAACAAAUCAAUAGUACUUUUAAGUAUAUUGAUACAUUUUAAGGAUAUUUAAUCAGACAUUCAUUCAUGCAGUUUUUCAUGUUUUUGAAAGCACUGCUUUUACAGGCAGAUUUACCUUGUACUAAGGCUAAUGUUAUUUCUUGUUUCUGUGUCUCUCUCACAGGGCUACAGUAUAACAGGCAUGAAUGAAGCUGACAUGGAUCAAUUUCACUGAACCUCCUUAGACUUCAGGGUCUUCAGAUAGCAGGAUCUACAGUGGAUUCUCUGGCCAAUCCUUUCUGAAAACAAGAAAAAAGUGAUUUUACUCAUUUAUAAACUCAUUAGCUUUUUGUUUAAAUUAUGUGUCUUAGAAAUGGAGUUAAUUUGACUUAAUGAACUGACAAACUGAACUGUACUGUAGUUAAUAGUAGUAUUUGUGUUUUUGCUACCUGAGUUAAACAAAUUGAUACUAACAAAUGGGAUUUAUAUGAAAAAUGUCAUUAUUGUCGUCUAUGACUGCAAUAAAUGUUUAUGACUUCUAAUAAAUA